rnacentral:rRNA from 1 species
UACGUAGGGUGCGAGCGUUAAUCGGAAUUACUGGGCGUAAAGCGUGCGCAGGCGGUUAUUUAAGUCAGGGGUGAAAGCCCUGGGCUUAACCUAGGAAUUGCGCUUGAGACUGGAUAGCUUGGAGUGCGGCAGAGGGAGGUGGAAUUCCACGUGUAGCAGUGAAAUGCGUAGAGAUGUGGAGGAACACCGAUGGCGAAGGCAGCCUCCUGGGCCAGCACUGACGCUCAUGCACGAAAGCGUGGGGAGCGAACCGG